AAGUUUAUGUCUUUUGUUGCUUUAGAUCGGAAGGGUCUAUAAUGGGAGGGUCCAAAGGCUUGCGAAGUUCCAGUUUCCAGCAAAGAUCUCUAUAAAUAUUGCAGAGAGGGCCAGACCAGUUUCAGCCAAGGUCUAUUACUGUUGGUGGCAUUUUAGUUUCCAGCAAAGAUCUUACAGAUACUUUGAAGAGGACUAGGCCGAAAUUUAUAUCAAUAACAAGUUUUAGUUUAGCCAUUUUUAUCUAAAGAUAUUCGUCUCAGGUGCUAUCGGUUGUAAAGCAUAAAUUUGCAAUUAAUUAACUAUGCUUUCAGUGUUAUAUCCGGCUAAAAAUCUUUUUAAUCAUAUGUGUUGAGUUUUGGUAAAGAGUUAAUUUUGUGUUUAGCCGUACACAAAUUUUAUCAUGUGUUGUGGUUGGUUAUAGAGUUAAUUUUAUGUUUAA